rnacentral:antisense_RNA from 2 species
CAUUAUGGCGGCUGUGCGAGGGAGACCUUCGGGUCUGCCGGGCUCCUUCUGCCUCGGUUUCCAGCCCGCGCAUAGCUGCCACCCUU